GUAUGGGGGGGAGGGGGUCCGUGGUCGAGCCCGUUUUGGCACUUAAUGGUGGGGCGGGUGGGGGGAGCCCUCCCUUCCCCUACCCCAGGCGGGAGGUGAGCAGGACCUGCACCAGGCCGGUGAAUGAAUAAAAAGCAUUUAUUAAUCCCUUACUAUGUGCAAAGCCCUGUACUGGAAACAAACGGAAAGCCUUCCAAGAGCUUACAUUCUGCACCUCCUGGGACUUUUCCCUGAAGAAAAGGCUUCACGUGCUGCUUCCUUGGGGUUGGGGCGUCAUUGUCGAGGUCCUGCUUCUGGGGUUGAGGGAACGAGGGCGCCAAGGUCUUUAGGGCACGACUCCCUCUCCGCUGGAGCCAAUCAAUAAGCAUUCAUUAAAUGCCUGCUGUAUGCCAGGUGCUGUGGGAUACAAAAAGACACGGAACCAGGGCCUGGGAGGGGCUCCCAGCCUUGGGCGCUGGGGAAAACGGGGAAACAUUGAGGUGGAAAGGAAAGGGCUCCUCCUGCACGGUGAUGGACGGACGGGAGGCGGGGGCUGCUGGUUUGAGGGGCACCGGAUUCUGUGGCCACUUGGAAGUCCUGCGGGGUCUGGGUGGAGUUGGGGGUCUCAGCGCCUCCUGAUUGUCCCUGAGGAACCUGACGCUCCCGGAGGCUGCCUUGGAGACUGUAUGAUUGCACGGAAAGACAAGAAAAAAAGAGGAGUCUGGGAGCCCAGGGGGCCUCCAGACAGAGGGGCAGGGAGGAAGGGAUCGGGUGGAAAGUCUGCGGGGAAAGUGGGGGAAAGGUACAGGGAGGGGAGGGGGAGGCUGGAAACCGGAGAGCCGAGCAGGCCUGCGCCGGGCUCCAGCUGUCGAUUUCAUGGCCAUCAGUCUCGGGCACUGGGAACAAGGUCGGGGUCAGGCAGAAACACAUGGACCAGUCCUUCUUUCCCUUGGCAGAGCACAGAACCUGAAGAUAAAAAAGGGAAAGUGGGCAGGAGAGCUGGAGGCCUUGGGAAAGGGAGAGAAAGCGCCCCUUCCCACCUCCAAGCAGAGUUGCCUGGAUUGAAGUGAAAGCUCAUUCGUAGCCUGAAGGUUGAAACUGCCUGGGGAGGAUUUCUUUCAGAGGUGAGAACUUCCUUUAAUUGGAUCAAGAAGGGAAAGAUAAGAUUGUCCAACCCGCUCCGGGAGCUUUAGAGACUUGUAACCUUGGAAUCAGUCAGCUCCAAGCAAUGCAGGACUCAGGAGUGUCUUGACCAUGGGCCCUGCACCUGCAACAUAGGGAAAAGUGUGUGUGUAUGUGGGGGGGUGGGGGGGGUGGGGGUGGAGUGGGGGGAGGGUUACAUUACUCCCCUCCCACAUAUUACAGCAUAUUAUUGAAGAGACAAAAUCCGUCAGAGAGAACUCUGAGGACAGUCACAGAAAGCCCCCACCCUGGACCUUCCAGAAGUGUCACCCUGCACACCACUUACUGUGGACUCAAGAAAGGGGUUUCACCAAGUGGGAGUCUUCAGUCAAAUGUAUUUUCUAUAAUCAGAGCCCAUUUUCCCACAGGCCUGUAUAUACUUGCGGUAGAGUGUGCCCCAGACAAUUUUUAGGGAUGUUAUAACCUAAAAACUGGGGGGGGGGUCAUCAAAACUCCCAAAACCUCGAGUUUACCAUCUGAAAGCUGAGGAGGAGCAGAUCCUGUCGGAUAAUUUUUUAAUAUUUUUUUUUUCAAAAAAAUUACAAAGAUAGUUUUCAGCCUUCAUCCUUGUGAAAUCUUGUGUUGCAACUUUUUCUCCCUCCUUCCCCCCUACUCUCUCCUCCCAGACAGCCAGUAAUCCAAUAUAGGCUAAACUUGUGCAAUUCUUCUAUACGUAUUUCCACAUUUAUCAUGUUACACAAGAAAAAUCAAAUCGAAAAGUUUAAAAAAUGAGAAAGAAAAUAAAAAUUCAAGCAAAUUACAAUAAAAAGAGUGAAAAUGCUAUGUUGUGAACUGUAAUAUUUUUCUCUAAAAUGUAAUGUUCUCUUGUUGGAGUUUUCUUGGGGUUCUCUGGGAGCAGUCUUCCUUUAAUCACCCCAAAUGCAGCCAGGUGUUAAAGUCCAAAUCCUUUAUUGCCUCUUUCAAAGUCUUGUCUCCUUCUCUUGGGGCUCAGUUAGUUUUUCUGGAGGCCUUCCGGAUCUU
rnacentral:lncRNA from 1 species